ACGAACGCUGGCGGCGUGCUUAACACAUGCAAGUCGAACGGAAAGGCCCUGCUUUUGUGGGGUGCUCGAGUGGCGAACGGGUGAGUAACACGUGAGUAACCUGCCCUUGACUUUGGGAUAACUUCAGGAAACUGGGGCUAAUACCGGAUAGGAGCUCCUGCUGCAAGGUGGGGGUUGGAAAGUUUCGGCGGUUGGGGAUGGACUCGCGGCUUAUCAGCUUGUUGGUGGGGUAGUGGCUUACCAAGGCUUUGACGGGUAGCCGGCCUGAGAGGGUGACCGGCCACAUUGGGACUGAGAUACGGCCCAGACUCCUACGGGAGGCAGCAGUGGGGAAUAUUGCACAAUGGGCGGAAGCCUGAUGCAGCAACGCCGCGUGCGGGAUGACGGCCUUCGGGUUGUAAACCGCUUUCGCCUGUGACGAAGCGUGAGUGACGGUAAUGGGUAAAGAAGCACCGGCUAACUACGUG
rnacentral:rRNA from 1 species